UAAAAGUUAAGAUUUAAUUAAAUUUAGAUUUAAUUAACUAGUAACUGAGCAAUAGCAUUCAGGAAGGAUACAUCUAAGAUUGUUACAUUCGCUGAGGCGAAUUGAAGAUGG